CCUACGGGAGGCAGCAGUGAGGAAUAUUGGUCAAUGGCCGAGAGGCUGAACCAGCCAAGUCGCGUGAGGGAAGAAUGUCCUAUGGAUUGUAAACCUCUUUUGUCAGGGAGCAAAGUCACCCACGUGUGGGUGUUGGAGUGUACCUUAAGAAUAAGCAUCGGCUAACUCCGUGCCAGCAGCCGCGGUAAUACGGAGGAUGCGAGCGUUAUCCGGAUUUAUUGGGUUUAAAGGGUGCGUAGGCGGGUUAUUAAGUCAGCGGUAAAAUCGUGGGGCUCAACUCCAUCCAGCCGUUGAAACUGGUUGUCUUGAGUGGACGUGAGGUAGGCGGAAUGCGUGGUGUAGCGGUGAAAUGCAUAGAUAUCACGCAGAACUCCGAUUGCGAAGGCAGCAUACCGGCGCCCGACUGACGCUGAAGCACGAAAGCGUGGGUAUCGAACAGGAUUAGAUACUCGUGUAGUC
rnacentral:rRNA from 1 species